rnacentral:tRNA from 1 species
GGGGGUGUAGCUCAGUGGUAGAGCGCUCGCUUUGCAUGCGAGAAGUCCCGGGUUCGAACCUCGGCUCCUCCA